AGCCGUGCGGUGAGCACAGAGCGAACUAUUCUUUUGCCUUUUACUAAAGAAUACCGUGUGCUCACCGCUUAUAGCGGCAUACGCCUAUUUUUGGAGGCCUAUCCUUUUCUGGAAU
rnacentral:snRNA from 1 species